GACGAACGCUGGCGGCGUGCCUAAUACAUGCAAGUAGAACGCUGAAGGAGGAGCUUGCUUCUCUGGAUGAGUUGCGAACGGGUGAGUAACGCGUAGGUAACCUGCCUGGUAGCGGGGGAUAACUAUUGGAAACGAUAGCUAAUACCGCAUAAGAGUAGAUGUUGCAUGACAUUUGCUUAAAAGGUGCAAUUGCAUCACUACCAGAUGGACCUGCGUUGUAUUAGCUAGUUGGUGGGGUAACGGCUCACCAAGGCGACGAUACAUAGCCGACCUGAGAGGGUGAUCGGCCACACUGGGACUGAGACACGGCCCAGACUCCUACGGGAGGCAGCAGUAGGGAAUCUUCGGCAAUGGACGGAAGUCUGACCGAGCAACGCCGCGUGAGUGAAGAAGGUUUUCGGAUCGUAAAGCUCUGUUGUAAGAGAAGAACGAGUGUGAGAGUGGAAAGUUCACACUGUGACGGUAUCUUACCAGAAAGGGACGGCUAACUACGUGCCAGCAGCCGCGGUAAUACGUAGGUGGCAAGCGUUAUCCGGAUUUAUUGGGCGUAAAGAGAGUGCAGGCGGUUUUCUAAGUCUGAUGUGAAAGCCUUCGGCUUAACCGGAGAAGUGCAUCGGAAACUGGAUAACUUGAGUGCAGAAGAGGGUAGUGGGACUCCAUGUGUAGCGGUGGAAUGCGUAGAUAUAUGGAAGAACACCAGUGGCGAAGGCGGCUACCUGGUCUGCAACUGACGCUGAGACUCGAAAGCAUGGGUAGCGAACAGGAUAGAUACCCUAGUAAUCCAAGGGCGAGUCCACACUGGAUAUCAGCUUAUCGAUACCGUCGACCUCCACGGGGGGGCGGGGACCCAGCUAUUGUUCGCUUUUAGUAAAAGAUACAAUAAAAAAAAG
rnacentral:rRNA from 1 species